rnacentral:sRNA from 13 species
GAUUGAAUUGAAAAGAUAAAACAAGGGGAACAAAUGUGAAUGUUCAAACAGGAGACUUUCUCUUGAAGGCUAUUUAUAGCUCUUUGAAAAUAAAAAUGUCAACAUUGUAAAACUUUUCUAAAUUUGUGUCACUAAACAGAGAGAGAUUUAAGGAUUAUGUAAAUGAGUUGGCAACAAUCAAGCUUGAUUUGGGUGAGAAAGUUUUGGUGUUAAAGAAAAAGUAUCGUCCAGCAUCAGAAAACCUCGAAGGUUCAGAUUUAACAUCUCAGCCACUGCCACCUUUGGCUUCAUCAGUUGCUAAAACUUCUGCACCUAACCCUGCCAUGUCAGAACCUAACUUAAGGCCAAAAGAAAGCAGUGUAGAUCCUGAUCCUCCGUCAAUAAAGCUAUCGACAAAGCUGGAAAAAAAUGACUCUCUGCGUGCUCAGUCUGAGCCCC